rnacentral:misc_RNA from 1 species
GAUGAAGAACGUAGCGAAAUGCGAUACGUAAUGUGAAUUGCAGAAUUCAGUGAAUCAUCGAAUCUUUGAACGCAUAUUGCGCUCUCUGGUAUACCGGAGAGCAUGCUUGUUUGAGUAUCAGUAAACACCUCAACUUCCAUAUCUUUUUUGAAAUGGGAGUUGGACUUGAGUGAUCCCAACGCUUUUCCUCACCGAAAAGUGGCGGGUUACUUGAAAUGCAGGUGCAGCUGGACUUUUCUCUGAGCUAUAAGCAUAUCUAUUUAGUCUGCCUAAAAAACAGAUUAUUACCUUUGCUGCAGCUAACAUAAAGGAGAUUAGUUCUUGUGCUGACUGAUGCAGGAUUCACAAAGACAGGCUUCGGCCGACUUUGUAAACUCGAUCUCAAAUCAAGUAAGACUACCCGCUGAACUUAAGCAUAUCAAUAAGCGGAGGA